UACGGAAGGCAGCAGUGGGGAAUAUUGCACAAUGGGCGCAAGCCUGAUGCAGCCAUGCCGCGUGUAUGAAAAAGGCCUUCGGGUUGUAAAGUACUUUCAGUCGUGAGGAAGGUGUUAAGGUUAAUAACCUUAGCAAUUGACGUUAGCGACAGAAGAAGCACCGGCUAACUCCGUGCCAGCAGCCGCGGUAAUACGGAGGGUGCGAGCGUUAAUCGGAAUUACUGGGCGUAAAGGGCACGCAGGCGGUUAAUUAAGUUGGAUGUGAAAUCCCCGGGCUUAACCUGGGAAUGGCAUUCAAGACUGGUUAGCUAGAGUCUUGUAGAGGGGGUAGAAUUCCAUGUGUAGCGGUGAAAUGCGUAGAGAUGUGGAGGAAUACCGGUGGCGAAGGCGGCCCCUGGACAAAGACUGGACGCUCAUGUGCGAAAGCUGGGGAGCAAACAGGGAUUAGAUACC
rnacentral:rRNA from 1 species